rnacentral:rRNA from 1 species
GAACGGGUGAGUAACACGUGGGCAAUCUGCCCUUCACUCUGGGACAAGCCCUGGAAACGGGGUCUAAUACCGGAUAACACCUGCCCGGGCAUCUGGGUGGGUUAAAAGCUCCGGCGGUGAAGGAUGAGCCCGCGGCCUAUCAGCUUGUUGGUGAGGUAGUGGCUCACCAAGGCGACGACGGGUAGCCGGCCUGAGAGGGCGACCGGCCACACUGGGACUGAGACACGGCCCAGACUCCUACGGGAGGCAGCAGUGGGGAAUAUUGCACAAUGGGCGAAAGCCUGAUGCAGCGACGCCGCGUGAGGGAUGACGGCCUUCGGGUUGUAAACCUCUUUCAGCAGGGAAGAAGCGAAAGUGACGGUACCUGCAGAAGAAGCGCCGGCUAACUACGUGCCAGCAGCCGCGGUAAUACGUAGGGCGCAAGCGUUGUCCGGAAUUAUUGGGCGUAAAGAGCUCGUAGGCGGCUUGUCACGUCNGGUGUGAAAGCCCGGGGCUUAACCCCGGGUCUGCAUUCGAUACGGGCUAGCUAGAGUGUGGUAGGGGAGAUCGGAAUUCCUGGUGUAGCGGUGAAAUGCGCANAUAUCAGGAGGAACACCGGUGGCGAAGGCGGAUCUCUGGGCCAUUACUGACGCUGAGGAGCGAAA